UCAGACUCGCUCUCUGGUCAUUGUUGCUGCUGUACACCAGAGACUACACAGCGCACGCUGGAGAUUAGGAUUGCUUAUAUAUAUAUAUUUUUUUUAACUCAGGAAACCCCUUUCCCUCAGCAGUUGGAAGUUACCCACUAUUUGGUGGAAAUAAAUCAGCCAUCCUCGUGAGAAAGAAUCUCUGUGCAGGCCACACACGUUCCAAUCCUUUUGCCUCUGUGAGUCAAUGGUGUUCACGACCACCUGCAAGUAAAAUAGGAACUUCCAAAAUGUCCAAGAGCAUCUCAGAGGAGCAGCUGUUUGUACUGGGGGAUCAGCUAUGUGAGAGUGGAAACUGGUCAACCAUGGACAUAACAAGAACCUACAUCUAGUAACUGAUGGAAGUGGAUGCAGAGAAGAGAAGGGAGGAAGGAUCACAGGAGCAAGUGAGGUCAAGAUCAUGAUGGGGAAAACCACAGAGACAGCUGACCCAAGCUGGUGGGAGCUCACGGACUCUUAACUGACAGCUGGGGAACCUGCACGGAACUUAACUAGGCCCUCUGAAUGUAAAAAAGAAGAAAAGAAAAGCAGCUCUCAGCCAGUUACACUGUGUGGCAGAUCCUGAAAAGGAAAGGAUUCCGAAGCCUUCCAUGUUCUGAAUGACAGCACAGGGUGGGUGAUAAGGGUGAGGUCUCCAUUCAUGACUACAGAGGAACGAAGAACAGAGUGUGGUACUACAGACCAGACCUGAGGGAGACGUCGAAUGCCAGCAUGAAGCUCAGGCUCUUGCUGUAUUUCCUGAAGAUGAGGAGAGACAAGAAUAUCUGAGAGCUUGGUGGAGCCCUGACUGGAUCCGUGAGCUCUACCUUCAGUGAGAGAGUGUCUCAAAACCUAAGAUGGAGACCAAAGGGAGGAGACACCAGACACGGAUCUCUGGUCUCCAUCUGCACGCAUACGUAC